rnacentral:tRNA from 1 species
GCCGGCGGACACCCUGCGGCAGGGCGCCGAUCUGGCCGUCGGGACGAUCCCGGCGUCCGCACCGUUCCACGCGAUGCCGCUCGCG